AGGCCACAAUUGUGCAUCCAAUGAUUUAUUUAUCUAUUUAAUUAUUUCCUGGUGCUACUGGUCUCUUCACCAAAAGAUUGUGAAAAUGCUUUGGUCUACUGCCAUCAAACUUUCCUAGCGGUCAGUGUUCUAUGAAAUAAAAGAAAAACAAGAAUAACAAGAAAAACAGCGUGCUAUUCAUUACUUGUACAGAGAAACAACAAAACUUUAGUCAUAAUGAAAAACAUAACAGUUGAACGUUAUGAACACGGAUGUUGACAUAUGACCACAGAUAUGCUUGUAAAAUGAGGUCAAUAAGCUCUUGCUGCAAAUUGUGCAACUCAUUUUCUGAUAAGUCUUGUAUGGAGGCCUCUUCCAAUUCAGGAACUUGGCACGAACUACUUUUACAAGCCGUAUAUAUUCAGGUUAAGGCCAGAACUCCUGUUUCUGAAAAUUUUUUAAUAACCUGUUUGCUUGUAUGAGCAGUUAGUCCCGUGGUAAUCGCAAGGCACAGAUGUCAGAACGUCAAGAGACAUUAUGUAUUUCAGUUUUUUUUUUAGGAAAUAGUAAAACUAUAUUAUCUCGGUCACCUAUUUUUACUUCCGUUUUUGAAAGUUUUUUUGUUCCAAAAGGGGAACAUAAAUUGAGCUGUAUCAUCUCAACUAUUGCUGGCAUUUAAAGAGGGGCGUGCAGCGAGUUGUAUCCACCAUUUAUUAUUGGCAAGUAUUGAUUACAGACAGUACAGUUUCAGGGUUCUGUCCUGUACAGUUAAAACGUGCAAAGCACGUAUCUGCACUAAAAUGAGUUUGUGGAUCUCUUUUCUAACAAACAACAAAUAAUCAAAGAAUACAGCAGAUGAAAGACAAGUUGCACGCAGUCCCACUUGGGCCAGAGACAGGCUAAACCAACACUUUGAUGAAAUACUGAACGAGCUGGUGCUAACCGCUGCUGGCCAAACAGCCUGCUGCAAAAGUAUCAGUGAUUGAACACCUCAGCUCUACAGUGCUUGUCUGCAUUAGAUGAGCAGAAGCCUGGCCCAGAUGACUUUGGUGAACCUACGGAUAAAGUUCGAGCAUCAAAGGCAUCGCUAAAAGAUCUGCAUUUUGGAUGUGGUGAAUUGGUAAUUCCCGAAAAUAUAAUACAGAUUGGUGCCUUGUGAAUUACGCAAUCAAACAUUCCCGUCCGGACAAUAGAGAUUUCAGUUAACACAAAAUGCGUGCUUUGUGGUAGAAAAUCAAAAGCAACCGUCUAAAAUCCACGCAAGCAAUGGGAGAACAGACAAAUUCCACAGGGGAAGGCCGACGGUGAAAAUUGAAUAUGCGACCCAAUAUGCGAGGCAAGUUUGCAAGCCACGACAGGAGAGUUGCUUCAUUAUUUAACAAAGCUAAAAGACAAAUUUCCCAUUUCCAACAAGAACCAGUAUUACUUGGUGUGCCAGUAAUGAAUUUUGUCAUUAAGCAAAAGUUUUGAAGGUAAUUAUUAGAUGGGAGGACACUAUAUAAACUGAAUAAGAGGAACCAGAAAGUCAAGUGUUUUGAAUCAUUCUUUACUGAUAUUGAAACAAGUGGGCAAUGGACAUGCAUGGUCAAACAACACUUGACGUAUAUUUUGUUCUCUUCAAAACCACAACAGUCAGAUUUUUUCAACAUAUAGGUUUAAAAUUCUGUUUAUAUAUUGCCUUCUGUAUAUGUACAUAGGUGAACAUGAAGUACGUACACACACACACACACUGCGCUAUCAACAUGUUUGAAUUGUAAUGUAAUGGACUAUUCCCAGUAGACUAGGCGCUUUUCAAAAGGAGAUGCAUAGAUUGAACACAAGCAGGCACUACACUGACACUUAAAAAUACACUUACUGAUUUUUUUUUUUAAUUUGGUCCUUAAACAGAAAAAUAAUCAGAUCACAUUGAUGUGAGGUUUUAAACAGGAAGGUAUAAAUGAAAUCUUACAAGAGGUUGAGGGGAUUACAGCAUGGUAUGAUGGGACUGGUACCAUCCGCUGGCUUGAUGGACUUGCAUUUCAUUGGUAGGAGGA